rnacentral:rRNA from 1 species
CACGAACCGUACGAACGUUAUUCGGAAUUACUGGGCUUAAAGGGUUUGUAGGCGGCCAUGUAAGUCAGGUGUGAAAUCCCUCGGCUCAACCGAGGAACGGCGCUUGAUACUGCAUGGCUUGAGGGAGACAGGGGUAAGCGGAACUGAUGGUGGAGCGGUGAAAUGCGUUGAUAUCAUCAGGAACACCGGUGGCGAAAGCGGCUUACUGGGUCUCUUCUGACGCUGAGGAACGAAAGCUAGGGUAGCAAACGGG